rnacentral:rRNA from 1 species
UACGUAGGGUGCAAGCGUUAAUCGGAAUUACUGGGCGUAAAGCGUGCGCAGGCGGUGAUGUAAGACAGAUGUGAAAUCCCCGGGCUCAACCUGGGAACUGCAUUUGUGACUGCAUCGCUGGAGUACGGCAGAGGGGGAUGGAAUUCCGCGUGUAGCAGUGAAAUGCGUAGAUAUGCGGAGGAACACCGAUGACGAAGGCAAUCCCCUGGGCCUGUACUGACGCUCAUGCACGAAAGCGUGGGGAGCAAACAGG